rnacentral:rRNA from 1 species
GGGAUUGCCUCAGUAACGGCGAGUGAAGCGGCAAUAGCUCAAAUUUGAAAUCUGGCUCUUUCAGAGUCCGAGUUGUAAUUUGUAGAGGAUGCUUCGGCUUACGCCCCGGUCUAAGUUCCUUGGAACAGGACGUCACAGAGGGUGAGAAUCCCGUACGUGGCCGGCGGCCUCCGCCAUGUGAAGCUCCUUCGACGAGUCGAGUUGUUUGGGAAUGCAGCUCUAAAUGGGAGGUAAAUUUCUUCUAAAGCUAAAUACUGGCCAGAGACCGAUAGCGCACAAGUAGAGUGAUCGAAAGAUGAAAAGCACUUUGGAAAGAGAGUUAAAAAGUACGUGAAAUUGUUGAAAGGGAAGCGCUUGCAACCAGACUUGCCCGCGGUUGUUCAGCCGGUCCUUCGGCCGGUGCACUCUUCCGCGGUCAGGCCAGCAUCAGUUUAGGCGGUCGGAUAAAGGCUCUAGGAAUGUAGCUCUCUUCGGGGAGUGUUAUAGCCUGGGGCGCAAUACGGCCCGCCUGGACUGAGGUCCGCGCUUCGGCUAGGAUGCUGGCGUAAUGGUUGUAAGCGGCCCGUCUUGAAACACGGACCAAGGAGUCUAACAUCUAUGCGAGUGUUUGGGUGUCAAACCCGUGCGCGUAAUGAAAGUGAACGGAGGUGGGAACCUUAGGGUGCACCAUCGACCGAUCCUGAUGUCUUCGGAUGGAUUUGAGUAAGAGCAUAGCUGUUGGGACCCGAAAGAUGGUGAACUAUGCCUGAAUAGGGUGAAGCCAGAGGAAACUCUGGUGGAGGCUCGCAGCGGUUCUGACGUGCAAAUCGAUCGUCAAAUUUGGGUAUAGGGGCGAAAGACUAAUCG